rnacentral:lncRNA from 1 species
GGUGGACGUCGAAGUUCGGCAUGCGAGCCCUCACCAACAGUGGUAUCUGAUAGUUUGGCGAGCCCCCAGGAACUUCUGAUUUGUAGAAGGCCAGCGGGUCGGAGUCUCCCUCAGGUUUGGAGACGGUGAUGGGAGUCACUGAGCAGACAUUUUCCAGCUCCUCGAACUUUCUUUUUACUGAGCCGAGGGUGAUCUUGUUGAGCCCUCCCCCUGUUAUCACCAGUGCUUUUGGGAAGUUUUCCCAUGAGCCAUUCAGGUGGGCGUUGAAAUGCCUCAUGAGCGCUCCCUCAUCCGAUCCCGGGGAUGGGAGUGGGAUUUCAGGUGCCGAGAUGGC